rnacentral:lncRNA from 1 species
UGUUUUGCUGCUUCUUCGUUCGCUAACUAUACGGGGCGUUCCUCCUUCUCUUCUCGCUUUCUCCUCUUUCUCUCUCUCUCACUCUCUCUAUACUGCUCUGUAAGAUCAAUCUCUUGAAAGCGUAGUUUGAAUCUUACUAGUCAUGGGUAUUCGCUGCAGCCUCUUGUUUCUUUCCUUGCUGCUAGCUGUCGACGUUCUCGCUCGGCCUCUUCCACCAGGUGAAUGCAGUAAUACUGCGGCAGAAACGAGUCCUGACUCACGGAUUCGUCUUGCGUUGUGUUGUGCAGUACUAGAAAAGAAGAAGGAUGCAGUGGAAGCAGCAGAGAUCCUAGCUGAGAAGGAGGACUUGGAUGCUGCGAGUGUGGUAAUAUACAUACACAAUCUGAUUCGAGGCCUGCUUUGAAUUUGAUCUCAUGUCAAACACAUGUUGGUUUUCAUGACAAAACGCAGCAGCUGAAGGCGCAAGUCAAGUGCGAGGAAUCCAAAACAGCUUCCGAUCGUGUUGCUCGAGAGCUUGCUGACAAAGCUCCGGUGCCUGCUGAUCAUAUAGAUUACAUCUACGAUGUGGAUCCUUGAUCCAGGCCUCUCUUUUUUUUCUCUACCCGAAUUCGAGCUCAAGAUAUGUACUAUAGAGUGUGAGGGCCACGCGCAACUAUCAUCCUCUUCAAAAUGUUAUAUGUGUUCUCCAGUUUACAUCUCCGCAUUGUACAGAGCGGGGCGAGCAUUAUAGGGACAGGGCAGUGCAGCAAACAUAUAAAAAAGUCUCCUGUUCUUGGGAGUUUCGACUUUGAUAUACCGCAUCUAAGAUACAACUCUCGGGAGAACCAUUGCUAAACUAUAAGCUCUAUAGACUUUUCAAACUCCAUGUAUGUAUGCGUGUGCCAGUGUGAGAGUGUGUGUGUCACGAGUGGCGUGGGAAAUA